GAUGAACGCUGGCUACAGGCUUAACACAUGCAAGUCGAGGGGAAACGACGGGGAAGCUUGCUUCCCCGGGCGUCGACCGGCGCACGGGUGAGUAACGCGUAUCCAACCUGCCUCUGACUGAGGGGUAACCCGUCGAAAGUCGGCCUAAUACCUCAUGGCAUCGUCUGCGGGCAUCCAACGACGAUUAAAGAUUUCAUCGGUCAGGGAUGGGGAUGCGUCUGAUUAGCUUGUUGGCGGGGUAACGGCCCACCAAGGCUACGAUCAGUAGGGGUUCUGAGAGGAAGGUCCCCCACAUUGGAACUGAGACACGGUCCAAACUCCUACGGGAGGCAGCAGUGAGGAAUAUUGGUCAAUGGGCGGGAGCCUGAACCAGCCAAGUAGCGUGCAGGAUGACGGCCCUAUGGGUUGUAAACUGCUUUUAGGCGGGGAUAAAGUGAGGGACGUGUCCUUCAUUGCAGGUACCGCAUGAAUAAGGACCGGCUAAUUCCGUG
rnacentral:rRNA from 1 species